rnacentral:piRNA from 1 species
UAGCUGGCUGCUGGAGCGGGCGGC